rnacentral:rRNA from 1 species
GACGUAGGGCGCGAGCGUUGUCCGGAUUUAUUGGGCGUAAAGAGCUCGUAGGCGGCUUGUUGCGUCGACCGUGAAAACACGGGGCUUAACCCCGUGCCUGCUUCCGAUACGGGCAGACUAGAGGUAUGCAGGGGAGAACGGAAUUCCUGGUGGAGCGGUGAAAUGCGCAGAUAUCAGGAGGAACACCGGUGGCGAAGGCGGUUCUCUGGGCAUUACCUGACGCUGAGGAGCGAAAGUGUGGGGAGCGAACAGG